GGAACGGCCAUAGAUCAGUGGCAGGACAUCUGCCUGGCAUGCAGAAGGCCCUUGGCUCAAUCCCUGGUGUUCUCCA